rnacentral:rRNA from 1 species
AAUUUUGCGCAAUGGGCGAAAGCCUGACGCAGCAACGCCGCGUGAAUGUUAAGCCCCUCGGGGUGUAAAGUUCUGUCAGUGGGGACGAAACUUGACGGUACCCACAGAGGAAGCACCGGCUAACUCCGUGCCAGCAGCCGCGGUAAUACGGAGGGUGCAAGCGUUGUCCGGAAUCAUUGGGCGUAAAGAGUUUGUAGGUGGCAUGUUAAGUCUGGUGUUAAAUCCCAAAGCUCAACUUUGGUCCGGCACUGGAUACUGGCAAGCUAGAAUGCGGUAGAGGUAAGGGGAAUUCCUGGUGUAGCGGUGAAAUGCGUAGAUAUCAGGAGGAACAUCGGCGGCGAAAGCGCCUUACCGGGCCGUAAUUGACACUGAGAAACGAAAGCCGGGGUAGCAAAUGGG